CGGGGUGAGUAAUAUGUAGGAAUCUACCUAGAGGUGAGGGAUAACUUAGGGAAACUUAAGCUAAUACCACAUAAGCCCCACGGGGGAAAGCAGGGGCUCUUCGGACCUUGCGCCUUAUGAUGAGCCUACAUCGGAUUAGCUUGUUGGUGGGGUAAAGGCCUACCAAGGCGACGAUCCGUAGCUGGUCUGAGAGGAUGAUCAGCCACACUGGGACUGAGACACGGCCCAG
rnacentral:rRNA from 1 species